rnacentral:rRNA from 1 species
GAUGAACGCUGGCGGCGUGCCUAAUACAUGCAAGUCGAGCGAACGGACGAGAAGCUUGCUUCUCUGAUGUUAGCGGCGGACGGGUGAGUAACACGUGGAUAACCUACCUAUAAGACUGGGAUAACUUCGGGAAACUGGAGCUAAUACCGGAUGAUAUUUUGAACCGCAUGGUUCAAAAGUGAAAGACGGUCUUGCUGUCACUUAUAGAUGGAUCCGCGCUGCAUUAGCUAGUUGGUAAGGUAACGGCUUACCAAGGCAACGAUGCAUAGCCGACCUGAGAGGGUGAUCGGCCACACUGGAACUGAGACACGGUCCAGACUCCUACGGGAGGCAGCAGUAGGGAAUCUUCCGCAAUGGGCGAAAGCCUGACGGAGCACCGCCGCGUGAGUGAUGAAGGUCUUCGGAUCGUAAAACUCUGUUAUUAGGGAAGAACAUAUGUGUAAGUAACUGUGCACAUCUUGACGGUACCUAAUCAGAAAGCCACGGCUAACUACGUG